UCAGAGGCGAUGAAGGGCGUGCUAAUCUGCGAUAAGCGCCGGUAAGGUGAUAUGAACCGUUAUAACCGGCGAUACCCGAAUGGGGAAACCCAGUGUGACUCGUCACACUAUCAUUAACUGAAUCCAUAGGUUAAUGAGGCGAACCGGGGGAACUGAAACAUCUAAGUACCCCGAGGAAAAGAAAUCAACCGAGAUUCCCCCAGUAGCGGCGAGCGAACGGGGAGGAGCCCAGAGCCUGAAUCAGCAUGUGUGUUAGUGGAAGCGUCUGGAAAGGCGCGCGAUACAGGGUGACAGCCCCGUACACAAAAGCGCAUGUGCUGUGAGCUCGAUGAGUAGGGCGGGACACGUGGUAUCCUGUCUGAAUAUGGGGGGACCAUCCUCCAAGGCUAAAUACUCCUGACUGACCGAUAGUGAACCAGUACCGUGAGGGAAAGGCGAAAAGAACCCCGGCGAGGGGAGUGAAAAAGAACCUGAAACCGUGUACGUACAAGCAGUGGGAGCACCCUUUGGGUGUGACUGCGUACCUUUUGUAUAAUGGGUCAGCGACUUAUAUUCUGUAGCAAGGUUAACCGAAUAGGGGAGC
rnacentral:rRNA from 3 species